GGGCUGCAGUGAGGAAUCUUGCGCAAUGGGGGAAACCCUGACGCAGCCACGCCGCGUGGGUGAAGAAGGCCUUCGGGUCGUAAAGCCCUGUCAAGUGGGAAGAACCGCAGUUGGGCCAAUACCCUGACUGCCUGACGGUACCACUGAAGGAAGCACCGGCUAACUCCGUGCCAGCAGCCGCGGUAAUACGGAGGGUGCAAGCGUUGUUCGGAAUUACUGGGCGUAAAGCGCGUGUAGGCGGACCGAUAAGUUGGGAGUGAAAGCCCUGGGCUCAACCCAGGAAGUGCUUCCAAUACUGCCGGUCUUGAGUUCCGGAGAGGGUGGUGGAAUUCCCGGUGUAGAGGUGAAAUUCGUAGAUAUCGGGAGGAACACCAGUGGCGAAGGCGACCACCUGGACGAGAACUGACGCUGAGACGCGAAAGCGUGGGGAGCAAACAGGAUUAGAUACCCGGGUAGUC
rnacentral:rRNA from 1 species